CCCACGCCGCCUGGCCGCCCGCGCUGCUCCUCUCCUGAGAUGGGUCUGAGAAAGAGAAACGCCAUGGUUGGUGAGGCAGCCAUGUUCGCCACAUCUUGGUAGCCCUCACUCGGCAUUGACAUCCUCUCGUUCUUGGACUUGAAGUUAACUCAGCCAUGAGGAAGCAUGGGUGGCAGCUGCCGUACCACCCUCUCCAGGUGGUUGCGAUAGCCGUGUUCUCGGCACUGGGGUUCACCUUCUCGUCUUCUUCGUGCCGUUCGUGGGGACGAAGCCGUUCCAGAUUGUGGCCAUGGCUAUCUACACUCCAUUGAUUACAUGUGUUGUUGUGUUAUACAUAUGGUGUGCGGAAACAAAUCCUGGAGACCCAGGCAUUUUCGAUUCAACGAAGAAUUUGAAGUAAGAUAAGAAUGAAAAGCACUCCUAUGUGAAUUCGGAUCAGGGGAUUAAUCAUGGAGAAGGCCAUUAAGUGAGACUUUUGGUACUGCUGAUAACAGUGAGAAGCUGAGCAGCAUGCUUGAGAGGUAGGAAGCUACACUGUCCCUAUGAAGUUAUUCAUGAUGACAGUGUCAAAUGAUUUGGCGAGUGUUAUUUUUCGGGUAAAAAAUUAUUUGUACUGUCAAAAAAAUACUGGCAACGCUUCUUUGUCAAGUAUAUUUUUUUUUUC